rnacentral:rRNA from 1 species
GACGAACGCUGGCGGCGUGCCUAAUACAUGCAAGUCGAGCGGACGAAUCGAAAGCUUGCUUUUGAUUCGUUAGCGGCGGACGGGUGAGUAACACGUGGGCAACCUGCCCUGUAGACGGGGAUAACACCGAGAAAUCGGUGCUAAUACCGGAUAACACGAAAUGUCGCAUGACGUUUCGUUGAAAGACGGCGCAAGCUGUCGCUACAGGAUGGGCCCGCGGCGCAUUAGCUAGUUGGUGAGGUAACGGCUCACCAAGGCGACGAUGCGUAGCCGACCUGAGAGGGUGGUCGGCCACACUGGGACUGAGACACGGCCCAGACUCCUACGGGAGGCAGCAGUAAGGAAUCUUCCGCAAUGGACGAAAGUCUGACGGAGCAACGCCGCGUGAGCGAAGAAGGCCUUCGGGUCGUAAAGCUCUGUUGUUAGGGAAGAACAAGUAACGCAGUAACUGGCGUUACCGUGACGGUACCUAACGAGAAAGCCACGGCUAACUACGUG